rnacentral:lncRNA from 10 species
UGAGGAAAGUCUUUCAGAGGCCGGACGCUGGCACUGGACGGAGUAGGGAACCCUAGCCGUUAUCCCACCAAAGGGUCCCAGCGCCUAGAGGGGCUGCGGAAAGCUCCUACAAUACGAGGAGCCCUUGGAGCCCAGAGCGGGAUCCUGCGAGCCGAGGCCCCGUUCUCUGUUAGGAUCACGGGGACUGCCCCAGGCAGCUGCUGGGCCCGGUCGCGGACCUCGGCCAGAACAUCCUCCCAGAACACAGAGGAAUCUGACAUCAGUGGCCUCCCUUGGUAGAGGUGGGGAGCCGAGGGGCGGCAGUGUGGAAGGGCCAUCGGCCUAGGUCUUUCGUAUCCCCUCCGGCCUCUCGGGGCUGUGCGUUCGGAAACAGCGAAAGGAACGGCCUCAGGAAUCUGGCCUCAGCCGGAGCACUGGUGAACACAGGCUCCCGUCGCGCCAAGGGAAGUAGGAAAAGCUGCUUCCGGGCGGAGGGGCUGCACUUCCGGGGCCCGCGUCCCCCGGCGGCUUCGCCGAGAAGGGGCUUUGGGAGCUUAAGGGCGCCGGCACGCGUUCCCCUGGCGCAGAGCUCGCUAGCCGGGGCGCGGGCUGCCUCCUUGUUCUGGUGUGAUCCGAAUGUAACGGAGCGGACUUUGGGAUCCAGAACCCCGGACUGAGGUUGUGCUUGGCUUGAGGGGCGGGCUGGAUUUUUCCUCUUAGGAUUUAUUUCCCUGGAGACCUCAUGAAGAAUGAUGUGGGUUCUAUAGGGUACAGUGUGAUCUGGGUCCUGCCUAAUCUCCUUUCUAAACUUCAGAAAAUCAUGUACCUUGGAGUUGUGGAGGCAUGUUUAUAAGCAGAUCUGAGUUUUGCCACACUGGAAUUUAUUUAUUCAUUGAACAAAUAUUUAAUACCUACUACAAUUCUUAGCCGAUAUAUCAGCACAACUUCUCUGCUCCAACUAGUCUACAUUGCAAAGCAUCUCCUAGUGUCUUUGGAAGAAGGAUCUAUGGUGUUAUAUGUGAACAAAGAUGUAGACUAGUAAGGUAUCAAGAUUUGAUGGGGAUAUCCAGACAACUUGGAGCCAAGUCCCCACAGCUGGAUCAGACAACUUUUGGUGACAUCUCACAGUGUGGAUUAUCAAGCCAGUGUAUCAGUCUGGAGCCUAGGUUUUUUGCCUUUAGCUUUGCUCAGGAUGACUUCUGCUCUUCUAUGGCAAUACUUGAGAAGCUACAGCUUUGAUUAGACGAGAGGCUAUUUCAAUAACUUUCUCCUGAUAAGAAGACCACCGACCGUGGACGGAUUCUGGCCAGUUUACAAAGGCUGCAUACGUGAGUGCGUUUGUGUCCUGAAACGACCUUAUAAAGCCUUAUUAUAAUAUAUUUAAAUGUUAAGUCUCCACCCCAAGGUGAACAUUGGUCAGAUGUAAUAUGUACAUUUAUUCAGUAUGUGUGCAUUAGGAGGACCACGAAUAUUCAUGGCUCCUUCUGUAAUCCAUUGAAUAUGUUUAGUCAACCCAUUCAGCAUAAAGUUCCUAUCCCAAUCCCUCCUCUUUUGAAGUACCUGCCUUUCUGGCGUCAGCCAGAGGCCAGGCUUCCCAGCUUGUCAGAAUUUGCCUGUCAACUUUGCAACUGUAACCCUCUAUGAGAAAUAUAACUUUCCUUUCAAAAUUUAUAAAUUGUGUAAUUUUUAAGUUAACACCCCUCUAGAAAAUGAUUCAAUUUUCCUUGUCUUUCUUUUCCUUUGUCUUCUGAAGUCAGAAAUCCAGAAUCUGUUUGUUCUUAGGUCUCAGCCCUUUUAUUCUCUCCUAUGCUUUCACCAAGGAUAUUCUAUUGUAGCAGACAGUUAUGUGAGCUUGCAAAAUUAACCAUUCAUAGACUUUGGCCCCAGAGUUUUUGCUGACUUGAGACCAUCAGCACUCAGGAUAUCAAUUUUUUUUUUAAAUCCUAGGUAUAGAGAUGUGAGUUAAUCAUAUUCCUUAUUUCAUGGCACAUUGUAAUUAUUGAGCUAUGCAGACUCUUCUGUGGAAGAGUUGGUUAACUUUCAUCCCCAUUCUUUAUUCCCAGUCCUCUCCUCCUCCCUCAACAGAUAAAUUAUUCUAAUGAGUUUACUGUAUAUGGCUUAACUUGUACAGGUGUUUGUAAAGUAUCUAUUGUUACUUUUAUGUUCAUAGAGUUUUACUUUUAUGUAAGUGCUAUUUUUUUUAGAUCUCAUUCUUUUUUUUACCUUUUUUUUUCAUUUAGUAUCCAUGUUGCAGUAUGUAAGUCUAGUCCAUUGCUUCUAAUUGUGCUGUUGUUUUGCAUCUACUCAGUAUACCUCUGCACUUCCCUGGUGAUGAACACUCAAAUUGCUUCUAAUUAAUUCCUCAGCACUAAAAAUAAUGCUGCGACGAACAUCCUCUUACAUAUGUCCAUUAUGGAUCUCUGGGAGACAUUUUUGGGGGUCAUAAACACAGAAGUAGAAUUUCUGGGUGGUAGGCUAUAUGUAUACUUGAUAUUGACUAGAUACUGUCAGAUAACUCUCCAGAACAGCUUUACUUUCUUACCAGGAGUACAUGAGAUUUCCUAAACCCACAUCCCAGCCAACACCUAGCAAUAUCUAGUUUCCUAACUUUUUCCAGCUCAUUUCACUGUUAUUUUGAUUUUGAUUUCCCUUAUCCAUGAGUUUGAACAUCUUUAUGUAUAUUUGUAAGCCAUUUUGAUUACCCUAUUCUAUACAUUGCCUGUUCAAAUACUUUGUCCAUUUUUCUGUUAAUUUUCUUUUUUACUUUAAGAAGUUCAUUGUAUGUUCUAGACGUUAGUACAUUGUUAUUUUUAGACACUGCAAAUAAUUUCAAUGUGUCUUCUCUCUGUUAACUUUGUUCGUGGUGUCUUUCACUGAACAGAAAUCUUUAAUUAUGAUGUAAUAAAAGUCAUCACUAGUUUUGUAUUAUGUGUGCCUGUAAAGUUCUAUCUACAAUGUUCUUUCCUGUGCUGAGAUUACUAAGGUAUUUUCCCAUAUUUUCUUCUCUUUACUUUGUUGUUUUAAGCUUCACAUUCAGAUAUUUAUUUCAUUUGCAGUCUAUCUUUGUAUGUGACUUUAGGUAAAUAUCCAAUUUUGUUUUUAUCUAUGGCAUGAGCCAGGUUUGCAACUCCUUCUAUUAAUCUGCCCUUUUCCCAUUGAUAUAUGGUACCCACUUUACUAUAUAUUAAGUUCCCAUAUAAACAUACUUAAUUUCUAAGCUCCUUAUCAUGUUUCACUGAUCUUUUUGUCAUUGCAAUAAUAUCACAUUGUUAUUAUUACUUGACUGUGUAGUAUGUCUUAAUACUUGGAAGGGCAAGUACCCAUUCUUUGCCUUUUUCUUGAAAUGUUGACUUACCUGUUCGUGGAUCUUUAUUCUUCCAUAAAAACUUGAGGUUAUUGAACUUCUCAAGAAAUUCAACACAAAUAUUUUGAAGUAUUUGUGAUUGUGUUGAAUGUAUAGAUUAAUAUGAACUGACAUGUUUAUAAUAUUAAGUCAUCUCCCCCAAGAUAUGGAAUGUCACUCCAUUUAUUCAGAUAAUCUUCUAUGUCAUUUAUUAGAUUUAAAAAUUUUCUCCAUGGAAGUAUUAUAUGUUGUCAUUAUUUUCUAGUUAUUUAACAUUUUUUGUUGCUGUUCUGAAUGAUAUCUUAUUUUUAAAUACAUUUUGUAAUUGGUUAUUGUUGGAGAGAAAAGUGCUUUUAAUUUUUGUAACUUGAUUGUUUCUGAUAAACUUGCUGAAUUAUCUUAUUAGUUGUAAUACUUUGUUGAUUAGGUGCUUUUUUCUAGCUAGAGAGUCAUAUUAUCUUACCUGCAAAUAAUGUCAUUUGUUUUCUUUUUUUUUUUCUACCAAUGUAUUUAUUUCUCUUUCUUUCCUUAUAGCAUAGGGCAGGGCACCCCACUAUGGCAAACACUAAUAAUGAUAUUGCUCCUGAUUUUGUUUCUGAAGGGAAUGCCUCUAAGAUUUCUUCAUUAAUUAUAAGAGACUGGGUCUCACUCUGUUGCCCAAGCUGGAGAACAGUGGCACCAUCAUAGCUCACUGCAGCCUUCAACUUCUGGGCUCAAGUGCUUCUCCCACCUCAGCCUCCCAAGUAGCUGGGACAACAGGUGAAAUUGAAGGCCAGCUUUUGGAACUCAACCUUCAAAGGAACUUAAAAUUUCCAUUAUGUAGAGUCCCUGAGGAAACUGGAUCCACUAGCUACACUGGCUGAGAAUGCUCUCACCCCAGGAUUUCAUUUUUAUUUUACCACAUCAUUGUUGGUAUCUUAAGAUCAAUGUACUGGAGCAGCGGGGUCUCACAAAGAGGAUACCUGGUGACACGCCCAGGCUUUCAGAAUGCACUAUAGGGCUUUAGUGACUUGUCCAGGUUCAGCUGAAAUGUGCCAUCUGGGACCUACUAAUGCUUGUUGAACUUUACUGGAUCUCAGAAGCUGGGUCUCAGAAGCUCAGAUGUUCCUCAGAGCUACGAUAUCAACAACCUGUGAUGACAGAGAGAAGGUUGCUCCAUGAUGGAUUUGGAAACUUACUGGCUAGCUAAACCUGACUGAAUGGGAAGGAAUGUGGAUAGCUUUGGAACUCUAGUUUCACUAGAUGAGCUGGAAUUUGUAUUUUGACAAAUUGCACGUUAUGAUUAUUAAGUAAUGCAACUGAUUUUUUUUUCCCUUAAAACAAACAAUCUAGAAUCUGUGUAAUCAAAAUAAUUUCUCUAAAAGGCUGCAAGUAUAUGCUUAAAGUGUUGGGGCAUUCAGAGCAUUUGGAACAUUACAUUCUUUUGAAUGUCAAUUGGUAGAUGAAAAUACCAGCUUUUAAGUCAUACAUUUGAUUUUUUGAAACAAUAUGCAUUUAGAGUUUGUAAGUCAAGUGAAUAACUGAUAAGGUAAAAAAAAGGGGGAGUUCAUUGUUGAGUAUGAAUUUAAAGUAACCAGACUGCCUUUUGUCCAGUGGCUGUCAGUAAUUUACUUCAGCAGGCAUUUUUUUUUUUUUGAGGCUGUUCUAUGAUAUCAUGACCCUUCUUGUAGGAAUGUGCUUCCAGUGGUGAGGCAGUCUGAGAAUGUGUGAAGCAGUAUAAUGAAGCCAGACCAAGAUGGAAGCUUGGCCUGGGAUUUGAGCAUCAGGAAAACUGUUGAAGGGUUAUGUAUACAUCACACACACACACACACACACACACACACACACACACACACACACACUCUCUUCCAUACUCCUAUAACAACGUAUAGUAUUUACUAUACCUGGUGACAGGUAUUUACUAUACAUUGUUGAAGAUCUAUAACAUGGAAUGCCUAGUGCUAAGUGCAGUGUCCUUAGUGAAAUUGUAUUGGUUUGGAAUUAUUUAUGAGUUUGGGAUUAUUUGUCACUACCCUUAAAUGAUCUUGACACUCACCUAUUUGAAAAGAUAUUGAGGAUUUGCCAUUUGAUAUUGACCAGGGUGUAUUGUGCACAAAUAUUGUGAAUAUACAUCUGUCUGUCCUUAAAUCACUGUAAGUUUUAACUGGAAUAGAUUUGCUCCACAUUACUCGGUAGGGCUGAUAUUUCAUGCCUCAUGGAUGAGAAAAGAAUAGGCAAAAAUUAUAUCUCGGGCUGCCUCACACAUCUUUUAACAGGAUAAGGGAAAAAUAAAUAUAAGACCUAUGAGUUAUGGCAUCAGGCUUGAACUUUAAUUUAUGAAUUAAACCAACAAUAUUAUUGAUUAUUGCAAUUAUCUAUCUUAAUUUCAUUUGUUCUCCUUUUAAAAAUUAAUUAUGUUUAUUUUACCUAUUGUGAAUAAAGUCACUCCUCCCAUGUGCUUAUUUCUUGACUCUGGCACUAAUUAUUCUUCAGUGCCUAGAUUUCCUGGGACUGCUCAGUUUAAGUAACUUCUGAACAUUGGUCUCUGAGAGAAAAGACAGUGAAGUGGGAUCUGUGGAAAAACACAUCUGCAAAUGUCUCAUUUUUUUCUUCAGGGGUAAGUUUUCUUCCUUGGAGACUCUUGUCUUGAAAAAGUGAUACUAGAUCACCAUUUGGCAAGAUAAUUACAAAAGGCAGAUAGAGUAAUUAUUUUACAUAGCUGUUAUAGGGUGACUAAGAUCUCAGGGAAUGACUGUGUUCUGUAAUCCACUUGCCCCACUCAAUACCCCAAGUUUUAUACAAGCCAAAGAUGCUUGGAGCAGAAUCUGCUACCUGAGGCUCCAGGGCCUUGGCCUAGGGAAACUAAUACUUAACUUUUUAAGUGGUCAUUGAUGACAUCCCACUCCUUUCUGAGAUGGGUAUGAUUUGAAAGGCAGGUGUAUUCAUGGAGAGCAGGGCUUGGGACCUUUGCUGCAAGAGGAGGAACUAUUAGCCUAGACUUUUCUAAUAAGGACUUUCUCAUACCUGUUUCCUAGAUCUGGUCCACAUAGAAGAAAUCAGGGAACACACAGGGUAGGACUCUUAAAGGAGUAUGUUUCUUGGCUUUUUCCUAAAAACUAAAACAAAAACAUUCAUAGCAAAGCAGUUUAGCCCAGUGACUAAGAGUAUAGACAUUGGAAUCUGAAAGAUCUGGGUUGGAAUUCUGCUUCAGCCAUUUACUAAUUAUGUAACUUCACAUCUCUGAGAAUGGGGGAAAUUUUCUUUGCAGGGUUGUUACAAAGCUUAAAAGAGUUAAGUCAAGUGCCUGGAACAGAACAGCCAUUCAAUAAAUCAUAGAAAUUUUUGUUUUUACACAAAUUUUUAAAAAGUAAUAUUUUUUGCAUUUGUUAGAAAGACUAUAUUUUCUGUUUAGUGGAUGACAUCAUCAUCAUAAAAAUCACUGUUACAAGUUUUGUUUUGAGAAUUAAAAUCAUAUAUUAAUCCCAAUCACAUUGUGUUGGGAUUAAUCAACAUCUCUGGGCAUCUAAUACUGUAAAAACAUGGCCUGUGAUUGGUCUGCUUGGAAGUGCA